UGCCCGGUCGUCUAAUGGCAGGACAGCAGCCUUUGGAGCUGCUUAUCGAGGUCGAAUCCUCGCUGGGCAGCCA
rnacentral:tRNA from 1 species